ACUAGCCUUCACUGGUCUCCGUUCAGAGCAACGGGGUCUAUUGGUCCAUUGUAUAUAUGUCAAUGGGUAUACCGUGCUCUUGAUUGUGACAUCUUCCAAUAUGAUUUGGCGUUGCUUCAUAUGCUACAUAUUUGUGGCAUUGACUCUGAAACAACUUUUGAUUCACAUUAACACCAUGCACAGCCCUGACUUUCGCGUCGUGUGCGGGAUUUAUGGCUGUCCAAUUAAGUACAGGGUGUAUAAUUCCUUCUACUAUCACGUGAAGCGGACACACGCGCAUCAUCUUCUCCAAGUUGAAGCGGCGGAGGAGGAAGGACCGACUCGCCACGGUUUACCUGGAGCAGGUGAAAGGAUAGCCGCAAACGACCAAGCAAGCCCUGUGGCUGAAGCGGAGGGCUGAAGCAUCGUCAUUCCAGCGAGUGGAUUUCAAGAAGAUGGAGAGGGUCGCAUGAAUGUUGACAUUUCUAAACAUGCAACUGCAUUUCUUCUUCAAGCCAGAGAAACCCAUCGACUGACACAGAGAGCUGUUAACCAAAUGGUGAGUGGAGUCCAGCAAUAUCAGGCCGCAUUAUUGGAGCACCUAAAACAGCAAAUGAGCGACAUGAUUGAGAGACAUUCUGGGGACCUGGAUCAACUAAAGAGUGAUGCAAUGGGGAUAUUUGACCAGUUUGUUGACCCUUUCCGUCAAAUUGCUUCCACCCAUUUGCAGGAUAAGACAAUCAAAGAACUGUUAGAACCAGUUGAACCAGAGAUUGUUGUUGCAAAAUGAACAGUAUGUUAUGUGAAACAUGGAGACUCCAGAGUUCUUACCAUUAAGGACCAUUGUUUUCAUUAUAUACCGUUGGUGAAAAGUUUGGAGCAGCUGCUAUCACAUCCAAGAACAAUUGCAAUGAUUGAUGAGAUGCCACAGACAUGCAAGGAUGGAUUUUUUUCAUGAUUUCAUUGAUGGAGAUAUUUUUAAGUCGCACCCACUGUUUUUGAAAUUUCCCACAGCAUUGCAGUUGGUUUUAUAUACAGAUGAAAUUUUAUGCAAUCCUCUUGGAUCUCGGGCAAACAAAAACAAAUUGUUAUUGAUUUAUUACACCUUAGGUAACAUCAACCCAAAAUACAGAUCAAGACUUGCUUCCAUUUGUCUGCUUGCAAUGGUAAAAUCAAAAGAUCUUUCCCAUUGUGGUAUUGAUGAGAUAUUUGAGAGGAUUAACCGUGACUUAACUGAGCUGUGUGAUGGUGUCCAGGUUGUCACUGCAAAUGGUGAGAGGACAAUUUAUGGAGCACUUAUGUCUGUGUGCGGAGACACUCUAGCUCAGCAUGAAGUGGCUGGAUUUAAGAUAGGUGUGGGAUUUGCCUACAGCAGUGGUUCUCAAACUUUUUUGGUCAUUCCCCACUUUGGACAAGUGGGAAUUUUCAAGCCCCACCUGCCCCCAUUGCCCCAACACAAUGCUAAUGAAAUACGCAACAAGCUUAAAAUGGUCCAAUUUAUUGAAGUAACAAGUUGUAUCGAAAUACAACUAUCUACAUCAAAUAACAGCAAAUUCAAAAAUAAAAGUGCAGCUGUGUCAAAAUUUGUAUCAA